rnacentral:rRNA from 1 species
GUGAGGAAUAUUGGUCAAUGGGCGGGAGCCUGAACCAGCCAAGUCGCGUGAAGGAAGAAGGAUCUAUGGUUCGUAAACUUCUUUUGCAGGGGAAUAAAGUGCAGGACGUGUCCUGUUUUGUAUGUACCCUGAGAAUAAGGAUCGGCUAACUCCGUGCCAGCAGCCGCGGUAAUACGGAGGAUCCGAGCGUUAUCCGGAUUUAUUGGGUUUCAAUGGUGCGUAGGUGGUUUGAUAAGUCAGCGGUGAAAGUUUGCAGCUUAACUGUAAAAAUGCCGUUGAAACUGUCGGACUUGAGUGUAAAUGAGGUAGGCGGAAUGCGGGGUGUAGCGGUGAAAUGCAUAGAUAUCACGCAGAACUCCGAUUGCGAAGGCAGCUUACUAAGCUACAACUGACACUGAAGCACGAAAGCGUGGGGAUCAAACAGGAUUAGAUACCCCGGUAGUCC